UACGUAGGGGGGCGAGCGUUGUCCGGAAUCAUUGGGCGUAAAGAGCUCGUAGGCGGUUUGUCACGUCUGCUGUGAAAACUGGAGGCUCAACCUCCAGCCUGCAGUGGGUACGGGCAGACUAGAGUGCGGUAGGGGAGAUUGGAAUUCCUGGUGUAGCGGUGGAAUGCGCAGAUAUCAGGAGGAACACCGAUGGCGAAGGCAGAUCUCUGGGCCGUAACUGACGCUGAGGAGCGAAAGCAUGGGGAGCGAACAGG
rnacentral:rRNA from 1 species